AUUGAACGCUGGCGGCAGGCCUAACACAUGCAAGUCGAACGAGUGGCGGACGGGUGAGUAAUGUCUGGGAAACUGCCUGAUGGAGGGGGAUAACUACUGGAAACGGUAGCUAAUACCGCAUACCAUCAGAUGUGCCCAGAUGGGUUUAGCUAGUUGGUGGGGUAACGGCUCACCAAGGCGACGAUGCCUAGCUGGUCUGAGAGGAUGACCAGCAAAACUGGAACUGAGACAAGGUACAGACUCCUACGGGAGGCAGCAGUGGGGAAUAUUGCACAAUGGGCGCAAGACUGAUGCAGACAUGCCGCGUGUAUGAAGAAGGCCUUAGGGUUGUAAAGUACUUUCAGCGGGGAGGAGGAAAAAGAAGAAGAAGCACCGGCUAACUCCGUGCCAGCAGACGCGGUAAUAG
rnacentral:rRNA from 1 species